UACGGAGGGGGCUAGCGUUGUUCGGAAUUACUGGGCGUAAAGCGCACGUAGGCGGCUUUGUAAGUUAGAGGUGAAAGCCCAGGGCUCAACCCUGGAAUUGCCUUUAAGACUGCAUCGCUUGAACAUCGGAGAGGUAAGUGGAAUUCCGAGUGUAGAGGUGAAAUUCGUAGAUAUUCGGAAGAACACCAGUGGCGAAGGCGACUUACUGGACGAUUGUUGACGCUGAGGUGCGAAAGCAUGGGGAGCAAACAGG
rnacentral:rRNA from 1 species